rnacentral:tRNA from 1 species
GGGCCUGUAGCUCAACGGUAGAGCACUGCAUUCGCAUUGCAGAGACAUGGGUUCAAUUCCCGUCAGGUCCA